rnacentral:rRNA from 1 species
CACGUAGGGCGCAAGCGUUGUCCGGAAUUACUGGGCGUAAAGCGUGCGUAGUCGGUUAUCUAAGUCGGGUGUGAAAUCCCCGGGCUCAACCUGGGAAUUGCAUUCGAUACUGGAUAGCUAGAGUUCGGCAGAGGGAAGCGGAAUUUCCGGUGUAGCGGUGAAAUGCGUAGAUAUCGGAAGGAACAUCAGUGGCGAAAGCGGCUUCCUGGACCAGAACUGACGAUCAGGCACGAAAGCGUGGGGAGCAAACAGG